AUGAAACUACUUGUUUUCAAAAAUAAAUUUAAGGUCUGAUUCCCAAAAAAGCUUCUUACACCCUAUCAUGAAUUUGAGUUUUAUUUUUUUUAAAUAUUUGUUUUACUUCAGCUUCCCAAGAUGUACAGCAAGUGACAUUUAAUACCAUGAGAUUCACAGCAGUUGUGUUGCUACCUCAAGCUCCGUCACGUAGAUAUGCCAGGAUGUGGAGGCUCCUGGACACAUAGUGCCGCCUGUACCAACUUGGUGGGUGCCAUAUUGAAUUGACUGCAUCUGUCACCCACCGUGUGUCAUGUUGCAUUGUAUGGCAGCUUAUAAUCAGUGCUGACAUGAAGUAGCAGGCUACUCUCACACCUCUGAAAGCAGAUUCAGAACGAAACCAGAUGGCUCCUUGUCUGCUGUGUGAUCAAUUCAGAUUUCCAAUCUUCAGUGAAGAGGAGCCAGUGGACUUCAGCGGAAGUUUGCAGACAUAA
rnacentral:lncRNA from 1 species